rfam:Thermococcus gammatolerans EJ3, complete genome.
GGCGAUGACGACAAUUUCGCUAGCUGAACGGUGAUGAGUACCCUCGCAACCGAGC